AUUAACAAAGUCGAGUUCAUGAAAUGAACUAAUGAAAAUCAUGUACUGCCCGAAAGUAAUCAAAAUUCGGUACGCGAUGAUUCUCUAUACGCGGAAUAUGUACAUACAUUUCAAAUGCAUAAAUCUCGCAAAACAUACGUAUUAUUAAUGAUCAAUAUAUUACGGAUUUCCGUUCUACUUGAAGCACAGCCAGGCAUUCAGCAUCUAUCGAGCAGUCACUUCGUAAGAUGGAUAGCUCCGCGCCAACCGUUAAUGGGCUUCCGGUCCGUUUCCAUCGUCAGAAGUUUCCCGCUUUUUACAAUUUAAGGGUGGCAUACCUAGACCGAUGUGCCGGAUGGAAGCAAUCUUAUUCAACCAGAGAAACAUUUAAUUAAAUGAUUACGUCGCUUUUCACGACAUCCAGUAUGGAAGAACUCCUCUGUCAAGCUUUGUAAGAUGGAUCGUUUUAGGAGCUUUCCUUGCUUUCGGCGUACGAUGGAUCGACCAAAUAUAACCGAAGAGGUUCGUCCUGUCUUGCAAAAUGUAACGUACAGACAAAAGGUUUUAUAUAUAAAGUGACUUAUUUGUAUACUAUAAAAAUGCCCG